CCUACGGGAGGCAGCAGUGAGGAAUAUUGGUCAAUGGGCGAGAGCCUGAACCAGCCAAGUCGCGUGAAGGAUGACGGCCCUACGGGUUGUAAACUUCUUUUGUCAGGGAGCAAUUGGGUCCACGCGUGGGCUUAGCGAGAGUACCUGAAGAAAAAGCAUCGGCUAACUCCGUGCCAGCAGCCGCGGUAAUACGGAGGAUGCGAGCGUUAUCCGGAUUUAUUGGGUUUAAAGGGUGCGUAGGCGGAAUAUCAAGUCAGCGGUAAAAAUUCGGGGCUCAACCCCGUCGUGCCGUUGAAGCUGAUGUUCUGGAGUGGGCGAGAAGUAUGCGGAAGGCGUGGCGGAGCGGUGAAAUGCAUAGAUAUCACGCAGAAAUCCGAUUGCGAAGGCAGCAUACCGGCGCCCAACUGACGCUGAAGCACGAAAGCGUGGGUAUCGAACAGGAUUAGAUACCCCGGUAGUC
rnacentral:rRNA from 1 species